rnacentral:lncRNA from 1 species
UGGAACAUGACUACCGCACCUUAAAGCGUAACUAGGAAAAGGCUCAGGUCCAGGACUCCCAACAUGAGUUUACCUAGGAUGUUGAGCAUACCCAGCUGAACCAACCAGUGCCAUCUCACCACAGUGCCCCGGCCCAGUCUAGACUCGGCAAGGGUAAAGGCCCUCUGGAACUAACUAAGUCAUGCUCCUUCACAUCUCCCCACCGAAAGAUCGGCCCCAGGCACCAACGAAGGUCUACAGGGAUUGCAGGGACUGUCUCUUGGAUCGUCAGACAGACCUUAUCCCUAUCCCUGUUAAUCUCAGAGACCCUAGGGCCCCC